UAAGACGGACCGUACGAACGUUAUUCGGAAUUACUGGGCUUAAAGGGUGCGUAGGCUGUGCAGAAAGUUGGGUGUGAAAGCCCUCGGCUUAACCGAGGAAUUGCGCCCAAAACUACUGUGCUAGAGGGAGAUCGAGGUGAGCGGAACUUAGGGUGGAGCGGUGAAAUGCGUUGAUAUCCUAAGGAACACCGGUGGCGAAAGCGGCUCACUGGCUCUCUUCUGACGCUGAGGCACGAAAGCUAGGGUAGCGAACGGGAUUAGAUACCCCGGUAGUCCUAGCCGUAAACUAUGAGCACUUGGUUGGAGGGUCCUCCAUAGCCUUCCAGCCGUAGCGAAAGUGUUAAGUGCUCCGCCUGGGGAGUAUGGUCGCAAGGCUG
rnacentral:rRNA from 1 species